ACGAACGCUGGCGGCGUGCUUAACACAUGCAAGUCGAACGGAAAGGCCCUGCUUUUGUGGGGUGCUCGAGUGGCGAACGGGUGAGUAACACGUGAGUAACCUGCCCUUGACUUUGGGAUAACUUCAGGAAACUGGGGCUAAUACCGGAUAGGAGCUCCUGCUGCAUGGGGGGGGUUGGAAAGUUUCGGCGGUUGGGGAUGGACUCGCGGCUUAUCAGCUUGUUGGUGGGGUAGUGGCUUACCAAGGCUUUGACGGGUAGCCGGCCUGAGAGGGGGACCGGCCACAUUGCGACUGAGAUACGGCCCAGACUCCUACGGGAGGCAGCAGUGGGGAAUAUUGCACAAUGGGCGGAAGCCUGAUGCAGCAACGCCGCGUGCGGGAUGACGGCCUUCGGGUUGUAAACCGCUUUCGCCUGUGACGAAGCGUGAGUGACGGUAAUGGGUAAAGAAGCACCGGCUAACUACGUG
rnacentral:rRNA from 1 species